AUACAGAGGGUGCAAGCGUUGUCCGGAAUUACUGGGCGUAAAGGGCGCGUAGGCGGUCCAAUAAGUAGGGGGUGAAAUCUCACGGCUCAACCGGGAGGCUGCCUUCUAGACUGUUGGACUUGAGCACGGUAGAGGCAGAUGGAAUUCCCGGUGUAGCGGUGGAAUGCGUAGAGAUCGGGAAGAACACCAGUGGCGAAGGCGAUCUGCUGGGCCGUUGCUGACGCUGAGGCGCGACAGCGUGGGGAGCAAACAGGAUUAGAUACCCUGGUAGUCCACGCCGUAAACGAUGGGCACUAGGCGUCGGGGGGAGCGACCCUCCCGGUGCCGUCGCUAACGCUGUAAGUGCCCCGCCUGGGGAGUACGGCCGCAAGGCUGAA
rnacentral:rRNA from 1 species